GUGGUCUCUCAGUUUUCUGAGACCUGAUGUCCACUCCGAGGCUCUUGCUGUCGCCAUCGCUUCUGUGCCAGCGACCUGUCCUCCGGGCAGGACGUCGUCUCCGGAGAGAGACAUCAGGAUGAAGACGGACGGAAACGAGUCCGCCAGUCCCCACCCUGGGUGAACCGGCAGGAAGUGACAUCAUCGACCUGAAGGUCACGAUGACGCUGGGAGCCU